rnacentral:rRNA from 1 species
GAUGAACGCUGGCGGCGUGCCUAAUACAUGCAAGUCGAGCGAACGGACGAGGAGCUUGCUCCUUUGACGUUAGCGGCGGACGGGUGAGUAACACGUGGAUAACCUACCUAUAAGACUGGGAUAACUUCGGGAAACCGGCGAUAAUACCGGAUAAUCUAUUGAACCGCAUGGUUCAAUAGUGAAAGACGGUUUUGCUGUCACUUCUAGAUGGAUCCGCGCCGCAUUAGCUAGUUGGUAAGGUAACGGCUUACCAAGGCAACGAUGCGUAUCCGACCUGAGAGGGUGAUCGGCCACACUGGAACUGAGACACGGACCAGACUCCUACGGGAGGCAGCAGUAGGGAAUCUGCCGCAAUGGGCGAAAGCCUGACGGAGCAACGCCGCGUGAGUGAUGAAGGUCUUCGGAUCGUAAAACUCUGUUAUUAGGGAAGAACAAAUGUGUAAGUAACUAUGCACGUCUUGACGGUACCUAAUCAGAAAGCCACGGCUAACUACGUG